GACGAACGCUGGCGGCGUGCUUAACACAUGCAAGUCGAACGAAAAGGCCCUGCUUUUGUGGGUUUCUCGUUUGCGGAACGGGGGAGUAACACGUGAGUAACCCCCCCUUAUCUUUGGGAUAACUUCAGGAAACUGGGGCUAAUACCGCGUAGGAUCUCUUGCUCCAUGUUGUGGAUUGGAAAGUUUCGGCGGUUGUGGAUGGACUCGCGGCUUAUCAGCUUGUUGGUGUGGUAGUGGCUUACCAAGCGUUCGACGGGUAGCCGGCCUGGGAGGCUGACCGGCGACCUUGGGCCUACGAUACGGCGCAGACUCCUACGGGAGGCAGCAGUGGGGAAUAUUGCACAGUGGGCGGAAGCCUGAUGCAGCAACGCCGCGUGCGGGAUGCCCGCCUUCGGGUUGUAAACCGCUUUCGCCUGUGACGAAGCGUGCGUGACGGUAAUGGGUAAAGAAGCACCGGCUAACUACGUG
rnacentral:rRNA from 1 species